CAAUAGCGUAUAUUAAAGUUGUUGCAGUUAAAAAGCUCGUAGUUGGAUUUGUGGUUCGUCCCGCCGGCUGGGUCAUUGACUUUUGCUGUGCUGGUCGUCCAUCCUUGGGUGGAAUCUGUGUGGCAUUAGGUUGUCGCGCAGGGGAUGCCCAUCGUUUACUGUGAAAAAAUUAGAGUGUUCAAAGCAGGCUUAUGCCGUUGAAUAUAUUAGCAUGGAAUAAUGAUAUAGGACCUUGGUACUAUUUUGUUGGUUUGCGCAUCGAGGUAAUGAUUAAUAGGGACAGUUGGGGGUAUUCGUAUUCCAUUGUAAGAGGUGAAAUUCUUGGAUUUUUGGAAGACGAACUACUGCGAAAGCAUUUACCAAGGAUGUUUUCAUUAA
rnacentral:rRNA from 1 species